GAUCCUGGCCUCAGAGCGAACGUUAGCGGCGCGCCUGAACACAUGCAAGUCGCACGAGAGUGGAGCAAUCCAUGAAAGUGGCGCACGGGUGCGUGAACACGUAGAUAACCUGCCCUAAAGAGGGGGAUAACGUUCCGAAAGGAGCGCUAAUACCGCAUAACGCUGCGCUUGGUUCGCCAAGUGCAGACAAAGGCUGGGACCGGCAACGGCCAGUCGCUUCAGGAGGGGUCUGCGGCCCAUCAGCUAGUUGGUGAGGUAAUGGCUCACCAAGGCAGAGACGGGUAGCUGGUCUGAGAGGAUGAUCAGCCACACUGGUACUGGAACACGGACCAGACUCCUACGGGAGGCAGCAGUGGGGAAUCUUGGUCAAUGGGCGCAAGCCUGAACCAGCGACGCCGCGUGAGUGAUGAAGGCCUUCGGGUUGUAAAGCUCUGUGGGGAGGGACGAAAGACUGAGGUCUAAUAGGCUUCAGGUUGACGGUACCUCCUUAGCAAGCACCGGCUAACUCUGUGCCAGCAGCCGCGGUAA
rnacentral:rRNA from 1 species